UACGGAGGGUGCAAGCGUUAAUCGGAAUUACUGGGCGUAAAGCGUGCGUAGGCGGUUCGUUAAGUCUGUUGUGAAAGCCCCGGGCUCAACCUGGGAAUGGCAAUGGAUACUGGCGAGCUAGAGUGUGUCAGAGGAUGGUGGAAUUCCCGGUGUAGCGGUGAAAUGCGUAGAGAUCGGGAGGAACAUCAGUGGCGAAGGCGGCCAUCUGGGACAACACUGACGCUGAGGCACGAAAGCGUGGGAGCAAACAGG
rnacentral:rRNA from 1 species